UACGUAGGGGGCAAGCGUUGUUCGGAUUUACUGGGCGUAAAGAGCUCGUAGGCGGCUUGGCAAGUCAGAUGUGAAACCCUCAGGCUUAACCUGGGGCCGCCAUCUGAUACUGCUAUGGCUAGAGUCCGGUAGGGGAUCGUGGAAUUCCUGGAGUAGCGGUGAAAUGCACAGAUCUCAGGAGGAACACCAGUGGCGAAGGCGGCGAUCUGGGCCGGUACUGACGCUGAGGAGCGAAAGCGUGGGGAGCAAACAGG
rnacentral:rRNA from 1 species